UGCAGCCUUGUCAAAUUUAAUGUUUCCUUCUCAGUGUAUCACACUGGCCAAAAUGGUUGCAACAGUAAAUUUUUAGUCCUCGAGUCUCAUGAUCUUUCAUUGUGGUUACUGAGGAUAGAUGUGGCUAUAUACAGUU